GACGCUUCACCCACACCUCUAGGCGCAACUAGAUUUUUAUGUUCUGGAAGCAAUUUAACGCGGUCCAGUUGUCAUAACGGUCGUUCGUAGACACAAAAACCCAUUUGCAAUUAGCACCUACGAAUCCGUUGGUUUUAUUUAAAAUUCGGUUCAUUAUCAACUAUCGUUUAGGCGGUAGCACUCUUCGCUGUUUAAAAUAUAAUUACGCGACUAAAUACACCUUGCACGUCGUCGUAUCGAGUGUGGGUAAAGGUCGAUUCGCAUUAUACAGAACGUCAUCGUCACGUCAUAGACCGGCAACGUCACGUCAAAAAAGGAAUUUAUUCACAUUUGACCGGCAACGUCACGCAAAUACCUGCACUGUCUAGUUUCUACCGGUCCGUUGUGCUCGUACGUUGGUUCGUUCUGUUUUCUGUGAAAUUUUCAAUUUUAUAACACGCCUAAAUUAAGUACAAAUAAAAAACUGGCUAUGAUUGCACUAAUUUUGGACGAUGAAAGAGAGAAUAAUAGAAAAAAAAGAGCCAAGAAAACAUGGAUUAGAAAAAUAUUUACUAUGCUAAAAUUUGAAAGAGAAUACCACACUUUAUUCAAGGAAUCGGAAGAUGAAGAAAUUUCCUUUUACGAUUAUUUUAGAAUGUGUCAAAAUCAAUAUAAUAUAAUAUGACGGAUCCGUUCUAAUUACGAACUUACGUACUACCAAAAUUGAUCGGGAACGGAUAGGCGACGUCACGUCAAAAAUUAGUUUUCGAUAAAACUUUCCGUUCCGCGACGUUGACGAUACGUUACUUUGCCGG